UGCGCUGCUCGUUGAGGGUCUCGAGCACGGAAUUGCUGAAGUUGUGAAGGUUGAUGCUGUGAAUGCGCUCGGUCAUCCCCUUGCAACUGAUGUCACCUGCAGCAUGUCAACGCAGACACAAAACAGGGCAUGGGUCAGAUCUAGUUGGCUGCAUUCCUAACACCUAGGUUUCAGAGUAAAAAUAUAGAGUCAGCCUGUGAUGGCAUUCACUGGAAACAUGGAAGGAAUUGCAGUAAUGAAAGUCAUCAUGUAUUCUAAGUGACUAUUCUGUGAGAGCACAACGCAGACAGGGCUCCAGCAGGGAAACUCUCAAACCAUCAAGCAGACUGACUUUCAAAAAAAUAAAAGAUGGAUUUCUUCACUUCUGGAAGGUGCUUUGGUGAAAGGGCACCUAAGGUGAAAUGGACAGAUUGCAGAUGGGUGCACAUAGGUGAAUGCACAUAUCCUACAAUGUGUUCUGAGGCAACAUCAGGUCCUGAUUUCUAGGUCUGGAUCUGGGUUCUCUGCAGCACAGGAGGGCUGAGCUUCUCCUACAUAAUUGCCUUUCAUGGCAGGAACGAAACCAACUACAGACCCAUACAUUCAGAGAGCAGAGCUGAGCUGGAUACAGUGGCUUAGAGAUGUGGUAGAAGGAACCCAGAGCUCCAAGGGGAGAGCAGCAAGAAGACAACAGCAUGGGUUGCAGCUCAGACAACAGGAAAAUAAAAGCAAGCAAAGCUGGCUCACAGAUUUGACCAGGGUGGCAUGAAAUGACAAGCUACCAUGAGAUUCAACAGAGUGACACAGAAGGAUGAUGAGAAACAAACAGAUCCAGAGCAGCUGCCACCACUGUAGGCAGAGGCACAGAUGACCAAGUAGAACAGCACCAGUCCUUGCAAGGUGUGCUCAGAUCUAGCUCGGCAUAGCCAUCUGGCCAGGAGGGAAUGAUGCUGCAAACAGCGUGCACGGCAGUUGAGAACUGCUGUGGGCACCUCAGACUGAGUGGUUACCCUGAUGAUCAAGAAAUGAAGCCAUCUAAAAUUUUGCCUGCUCUCAUAAUUGUGUGUGUGUGUGUGUGUGUGUGUGUGUUUAAUUAAACAAAGUGAACUAAGAAGUGUUUUAUUGGAGACAUAAUGUACUCACAGUAGU